CCUACGGGAGGCAGCAGUAGGGAAUAUUGCUCAAUGGGGGAAACCCUGAAGCAGCAACGCCGCGUGAAGGAUGACGGUUUUCGGAUUGUAAACUCCUUUUGUUAGAGAAGAAAAUGACGGUAUCUAACGAAUAAGCACCGGCUAACGCCGUGCCAGCAGCCCGGGUAAUACGGAGGGUGCAAGCGUUACUCGGAAUCACUGGGCGUAAAGGGCACGUAGGCGGGAUAGCAAGUCAGAUGUGAAAUCCUAUGGCUUAACCAUAGAACUGCAGUUGAAACUGUUAUUCUAGAGUAUGGGAGAGGUAGGUGGAAUGCGUGGUGUAGGGGUAAAAUCCGUAGAUAUCAAGAGGAACACUCAUUGCGAAGGCGACCUGCUAGAACAUAACUGACGCUGAUGCGCGAAAGCGUGGGGAGCAAACAGGAUUAGAUACCCCGGUAGUC
rnacentral:rRNA from 1 species